UGGGGAAUUUUUCCCAAUGGGCGAAAGCCUGAGGGAGCGACGCCGCGUGGAGGAAGGAGUCUUUCGAGAUGUAAACUCCUGUUGUAAGGGAGCAAGGGUAUAUGUAGUGGAAAGGCAUAUACUCGGAUAGUACCUUACGAGGAAGCCCCGGCUAACUACGUGCCAGCAGCCGCGGUAAUACGUAGGGGGCGAGCGUUGCCCGGAGUUACUGGGCGUAAAGGGUGCGUAGGCGGCGGGUAAAGUCAAUUG
rnacentral:rRNA from 1 species